UUGAAGUUUCACACAAGCUCCAACAGUUGGGUUGGAUUCCUGAGCUUAUUUUGUCCAGUGAUGCAGUGCGAACAAAGGAAACACUUAAAACUAUGCAAGAGCAAGUGAGAGGAUUUUUGGAAGCUGAGGGACGAGAUACUUACAGUUAUGUGAGUUCUGCUGACUGUAACAGCUUGUUUGGAGUUCCAUUUAAUAGGUG